UGCGCAGGCGGUUUUGUAAGUCAGAUGUGAAAUCCCCGGGCUCAACUUGGGAAUGGCAUUUGAGACUGCAAGGCUAGAGUGUGUCAGAGGGGGGUAGAAUUCCACGUGUAGCAGUGAAAUGCGUAGAGAUGUGGAGGAACACCGAUGGCGAAGGCAGCCCCCUGGGAUAACACUGACGCUCAUGCACGAAAGCGUGGGGAGCAAACAGGAUUAGAUACCCUGGUAGUCCACGCCCUAAACGAUGUCGACUAGUUGUCGGGUCUUAAUUGACUUGGUAACGCAGCUAACGCGUGAAGUCGACCGCCUGGGGAGUACGGUCGCAAGAUUAAA
rnacentral:rRNA from 1 species